rnacentral:lncRNA from 1 species
CUCAGACUAACUUCAUUUUAGUUUGUCCCCAUGCCUGUAGUUUCCGAUCUGCUUUUGGUUUUAGCUUAUUAUUUGAGACCUAAUUUGAGCGUAACUUCUGACAAACAACAGCACGAGGCCAUAGGCUUUCUAUGCCUCUGCACUAAUACCUUUCUUUUUUUACACAUGUUGUAACAUCUCUAUGCACAGUGUAAACAUACCCUAACUAUCAAGUUUCCACUUGUUUAUCAUCAUUAAGGAAUAAUUUUCAAGUAGAAAUGAGCAAUUCUGCCUGAGAAAGAAUGUAAUCCAGCUCACGUGCCCAUACCAUUGCCAGCUUUUGUGGCAUAACCCAAACUGCAGCAUAUCCUCUUGAUUGCUUUAUGCCCUACUACAGAGGUUGUGAGUCUACUAACAUGUACUGUGUUAAGGUCCUAGUGCUUUACACACCAUGCAUGUGUAUGGUGAGCCUAUGCCCAUACUCCAAGGACUUAAGAGCAACAGAUGGACUUAUGUGCCUACUUCUCACAGGAGGUAUUACCUAAGAAGAUGGUUAUGACAGUCUGGGCCUUCUAUACUAAGUAGCCUCAGAAACUGGACACUUGAGCUGCCAAAAAUCUGCAGAGCUAAGUAGAGGAUCAUGAAAGUUUUGAUGGGACUUCCUUUUCCUCUCCUCCUAAGCAAGAUUGUCUAGGAGAAAAAGAAAGCUUUGGGAACUGUUUCCACUUUGCCACAUUGGUAUUUUAAUUUUGUGCAUUAUAUACAUAUGUAUCACAGUACACCAGUAGGCAGUAAGGCAUGCAUGACUGUAUGGUAGAGAUAAUUUACUAUAACUAUUAUGUUGAAGGGCAAUGGCAAUACCAAAUAAAGAGCUGAGCUGAAUUGAUUGUUCUCCUAAA